CUAAUAGAAGAUUCAGAUGCCA
rnacentral:siRNA from 1 species